rnacentral:rRNA from 1 species
UGGGGAAUAUUGGACAAUGGGUGAGAGCCUGAUCCAGCCAUGCCGCGUGCAGGAAGAAGGCGUUAUGCGUUGUAAACUGCUUUUUGCCAGGGGAUAAAAAGACCGUGCGCGGUUAAUUGAAGGUACCCGGUGAAUAAGCCACGGCUAACUACGUGCCAGCAGCCGCGGUAAUACGUAGGUGGCAAGCGUUGUCCGGAUUUAUUGGGUUUAAAGGGUGCGUAGGUGGCCCUGUAAGUCAGUGGUGAAAUAUCUCAGCUUAACUGAGAGGGUGCCAUUGAUACUGCAGGGCUUGAGUACAGAUGAGGUAGGCGGAAUUGACGGUGUAGCGGUGAAAUGCAUAGAUAUCGUCAAGAACACCGAUAGCGAAGGCAGCUUACCAAGCUGUAACUGACACUGAGGCACGAAAGUGUGGGGAUCAAACAGGAUUAGAUACCCCAGUAGUCCCUGAGCGGGCUGGCAAGGCGCAU